ACAGGCUCGGAUGCUAUUGUUGACAUAAUGAGGUAACUUGUAACGUUUGUAGCACUAAAUCACUUUGCUCUUUACAAUUAAAGUAGUCCGACAAACAGCGAACACAUUACAAUAGACCUUUACAGGCCAAUCAAAUAUUCUGAAAUAUUUUCAGAUAUUUCGAGUAGUUAAUAAUAAUAAUAAUAAUAAUAAUAAUAAUAAUAUAGUUUUCUGAACACUUCGGUUGGUUUACUUUACUUUUUCUGAGUCUAAACCUCGUGAUAGGAAAUGUUUUGCCCUUUUAAAAAAAAUCACAUAGAUUUUUAAAGGCAAAGACUGAAUAUUAUUCAAACCUAGUCGCUUCUAAUUGUAACAACUCUAGAAUGCUUUAUGCCUCAAUUAAUGCUGUGACAAAUGUGGAUAAUGGUUUCCCUGCACAGCUAUUAGACGAGGUGUGUACUAGUUUUCUUGGAUUUUUUAUUGAAAAGGUGGCAUUGUUGCGUUCUGCACUGUCAAGAGCAAAUAUGCGAACUCCCUCAUUUCCUUUGGAUAGACAUUUAGAGUCUUUUCAGCCAGUAUCCCUUGAUGACUUAGUUAAGUUGGUGGACGUAAUUAAACCGAGUGGAUCUCCCAAAGACAUCAUACCACCACGGAAGUCUUUCAUGGAAUAGCUCCAUUAAUAUUGAAAGUUAUUAAUAGCAGUUUGGUCUCUGGCUAUGUCCCAAUUGAUUUUAAAAAGACGGUUAUUAACCCACUGUUAAAGAGAUCAGGGUUAGAUGGUAUGCAGCCUUGCAACUACCGGCCGAUUGCAAAGCUCCCUUUUCUGAGUAAAAUUCUGGAAAAAUGUGUCUCAGUUAAUGAAUUUCCUAGAAGAGUCUAACAUUAAGGAAACUUUUCAGUCUGGCUUUAAAGCUUUUCAUAGUAUGGAAACGGCACUGAUAAAGGUAUUAAAUGACAUUAUGUUGGAAACUGAUAGGGGAAAUCCUGCGCUACUUGUUUUGUUGGACCUUACAGCUGCUUUCGACACUGUGGACCACGAGGUGUUGCUCCAUCGUUUGGAGUAUAAUGUCGGAAUCUCUGGUCUGGCCUUAGACUGGUUCAGAUCUUAUUUGAAGCAAGGGACUGUAAGUGUAAGGAUGGGUGGGUUUAGUUCUGGAUUCACACACCUGCAGUGGGGGGUCCCACAGGGUUCAAUAUUGGGACCACUAUUGUUUUUGAUUUACAUAUUGCCACUGGGGACAUCAUGAGGAAGUAUGGAAUUUGAUGUCAUAUGUAUGCUGAUGAUUGCCAACUUUACUUACCCUUGAAUUAUCGAAGCGACUGUCCCAUUAUUACCUUAAUGCACUGUCUAACUGAAGUUAAGUCAUGGUUGACGGACAAUUUUUUAUGUCUGAAUGAAAGCAAAACUGAGGCAGUGCUGUUUGGGUUACAUCGUGAUUUAGAGCGAUCAAAACUAGAUUGUAGGGAUAUGAAUGCCUACCUACGUUCUUCGGCGGUCAACUUAGGAGUGACAUUAGAUAACGCUUUCACCUUUGAUGCACAUGUGGGUGCAGUUGUAUCGUCCUCUUUUUACCACUUGCGACGUCUGGCCAAAGUGAAGUCAUUUUUAACUAGAAAGGACCUCGAGAUUGUUGUGCAUGCGUUUAUCACCUCUCGUUUAGACUACUGUAACUCUGUCUUAAUUGGGGUGAGACAGAGUACAGUAGCUCGUCUGCAGCUUGUGCAAAACGCUGCGGCAAGAUUCCUAGAAGGGAAAAGGAAAUAUGAUCAUAUGACACCCAUCCUGGCAGAUCUGCACUGGUUACCGGUUGUUUUUAGAGUGCGUUUUAAAAUUCUUUUGUUGGUUUUUAAGGCAUUGAAUGGGAUAGCACCAGAAUAUUUAUCUGACUUGCUACAGCCAUAUAUAGUCGUUCGCUCCGCUCAGAGAGUCACCAUAUGCUUCUAGUCCCCGCAACUAGGCUCAAAACAAGAGGAGACGGGGCUUUUUCGGUAGCAGGCCCAAAAUUAUGGAAUGAUCUUCCAUUAUCUGUGCGACUCGCCACGUCAGUAGAGUUUUUAGGAAGGCGCUGCAGACCCAUUAUUAUAAUCUGGCUUUUAAAUCUGUGUGUUAACUGAUGCUUUGUAUUUUGCAGAUUUAAAUUUUUUUUAUUGGGUUCCUAUAUUUGUUUUUAUCUUUUUAGUUUAGUCUUGUGCAGCACCUUGGUGACAUGAUAUAUGUCUGUAAGGUGCUUUUAUAAAUAAAGGUGAUGAUGAUGAUGAUGAUGAUGAUGAUUUUUUUAUUAUUAUUUCAGCUGAUUAAAUAUGUGUCAGAUGCCCUCUAAUUUCCCUCUGGGAUUAAUUUGAUUGAUUUGAUUUGAUUUGAUUUGAUUUACCACUGAUAAAUGUAUACACCGCCCUAAAGGGUUAAAAAAUGUCCUGCUUCAAAGCGAACGUUGUAAAUGUGUGCUAAAUACACAUAAUUGUUCUCAGACUUUUAAAGAACUAAAUUUUAGCGCUCAGCCAGGUAAAAAAAAUAAGGGGGGUGUUACAACGUUCAGAUGUAAUUUUUUUUUGAGAGACAGUAUAAUCAGUAUAACAAAGAUUUUUUUAUUUUUAUUUUUAUUUUACAGCGACUGCGGAUGCGCAGAGGACCUUGCAGAAGUAGCAGGGCAUUCAACCAGGAGCGGAAUUUUGGUAAACGGCGUCUCCUGCUGGGGAGAAAGUGAAAGCCAUGAGUUUUAUUAUUAUUAUUAUUAUUAUUAUUAUUAUUAGCAAAACAAUCACUAUUUUGAUAUAAGCUGUGUUUUCUCUACCUUUUAAAAUAAGGUGAAUUUAUAUUUCUAUGAAAUAGAAAAUUACUUUAAAGAGCAAGUCACCCCUACCAGGGUCUUACUUCCCUCCCACUUCCUGUUCAAAAAAUGCAACAAAUGCUGUUGCCUGGCAGACCGAGAGGGCGGAGCCGCUUACAAAUACACACACUCACAGUGGGUGACACAGGAAUGGAUUUUGCUUUCCCAAUCCAUUCCUAUUGUAAAAAAUGUUCUUGUCCCUAUCCCAGACAACAAGAAAAAAUAAAAUUCCCUCUCAUCCCAAUCCCAGUAACAUAAUUCCCACCCCUCCCAGUCCCAACAGGUGUCUUUAAGGUGUGGUGAUUCUAAACAAGCCAAAAAACUAACAAAAACAAUCACAGCUGUGUGUUUCUACUCCAUCAUUAUGGGGACAAAAAAGUUUCAAAAGAUCUGUGCAUGCAUAUCUAGAUGUGUUUGUGUGUGUGUGUGUGUAAAUAGAUUUAUGUUGUGUGUAACUAGAUUUGUGUGUGUGAGUGUGUGUGUGUGUGUGUGUGUGUGUGUGCGCUUAUGGUUUGUGAGACCUAUUUGUCAGUUUACACACCAGCAUUAUGAAACCAAUAGGUUUAUGAGACCAUUUUUGAUGGUCUCGUAAACCGUGACUUUUAAAGUGUUGUAAUCUUUGAAAAAUAUAAAAAGUAAACAUUGUUAAUAUAUUAUUACAAACUUUGUAACAGCCAUUAUCAUCUUAUUUAGUUAUUUCUGCAACUUAACCUUCCUUUUGUGUUUUAUAGCCAAUUAAAAAAUUGGUUUCGUAAACCAUAUCGGUUGUGUUGUAUAUAAUAUCAGAGCCCCCUGCAGGUAGAAAACUGCAUAGCAGGGCUGAUACAACCGAUACAACUUAGCACCUCAGCAGCAGGACUUCUCCUGGCCUAAUACUGACUUCUCGCUAAAAAAUAUAAAUUGCCAUAAUGUCAUCAUCGUAGGACACAGAGUCUCGAAAAUGUUUGUGGUUGUUUGUCAUCCACUCCUAAACAACAAUCAAUAAUCAGAUGAUGACAUCAUCAAGGCUCCACCCCCUCACAACAGAAAAGGUCAUGUUUACUCUGAAAGAUCCCAAUUAUACCCUUUUGAUCUAACCAAUAUGAAUCACUGCCAAAUAACAGUUGACAUGUUGGGCUCACUUAGCAUCCAGUACUGGCAGGUGUUGAAAGAGGGCGGGGCUGUGGCAGUAUGGCGAAUUCAGGCGUAACGCCGUAGCAAUAUGUUUGCCUCAUUUCCUCAUUCCUCAACUUAUCUGCAGGAAAUUUUGCAUAAAUGUGACUAAUCUGACCUCAAACAGAUAUGGAUGCAAACAUCCUGUGGGUGUGGUCUAUUUUUUCAAAUAGCUCCCCCUAGGACCAUUGAAAUGGUAAGCCCCAUGUCAUGCUUUUACUGAGGAUUAUGAAAAUUGGUACACUUAUGUAGUGUCUCAGAGCCUACAAAAAGGUCUAUGGAGCCACUUUCCAAAUCUGACAGGAAGUCUGCCAUUUUAGUCACAUGACUAUUUCUUCUUUUCUUUUUUGCACAUGCUUAAUUAAAGCUAACAUAUCGUAGAGUUUUUGACCUAUAGACUUCAAAAUGACAUAUUUCACUCAUAAGCCACUGAGGAUCAAAAGUUGUGAAAAACAUACUCAAAAGUAUAACUGUGUAGGCAUGGCUAAGCCUAAGAUAUUGACCCCUUGCCACAUCAGUGGGUGUGACCUAUUUCUUUAAAAUAGCAGGCCCCUAGGGCAAUUAAAACUAUCAGCCUCAUACCAUGCUUUUACUGAGGAUUAUGAAAUUUGUUACACAUAUGUAGUGUCUGGUAGGUUUCAAAAGAGGGUGGGGCUUAAGGAGUAUGGCGAAUUUAGGCAUCACACCAUGGAAUUACGUUUGCCUCUAAUUUCUUCAAUUCACAUCUCAUCUGUGCGAAAUGUAAUGUGAUUUACUCUAAUCCAACCCCAAACAGAUAAUUAUACAAAUUUUCCAUAGGCAUGGCUUAGUUUUAACAUAGUGCUCCCUAGGACCAUCACAACAGUCAGCUCUAUGUCAUGCUUUGACUGAGGAUUAUGAUAUUUGGUACAUUCAUGAUGUGUCUUGAGACUUACAAAAAGUCUCCUGAAACCAUGUUUCAAGACCAGCAGGAAGUUGGUCAUUUUGGUCAGAUGAUGCCAUUUUAUGAGGCCAGAACAGUCUCAAUAAGAAUUAAGUCACACAACGUUUUCCACAAAUGCACAUGUUCAUUCGGAAAUCCACACUGUGUUUCAUAAAAUAUAAUUCGGAGGAACACAAAUGCACACGCUCAUUUGGAAAUUCAUACUCUUUGACACAUAAAUAUAAUGUGAAACAAUAAGUCACGCAACAUUUUCCACAAAUGCACACGCUAAUUCUGAAGUUCACACUCUGUGGUUCACAAAUAUAAUUUGUAAGAACACUUGUAAUAUAAACUCACAGAUCAUACGAAUAGCUGAAUGUGCAUUUACGAACAGCUUCUCAUUUGUGAACCUUCCUGCGUUUGUGAGUGAAAUCUGUGUGGUGCAUUCACGAACAGCUUCUCAUUUGUGAACCUUCCUGCAUUCGUGAGAGAAAUCGGUGUGCUGAAUUUUGAGACUCUCCUAACGUCGCAGAUCAACAAACGUCACCAUUGGCUAAUGAAUCUGUCAAUCAAAUAUAUGAUUCUGCCAGGGCUGUUCGAUUUCAGCCAGUCAUAUGGCUCCUUAUAUUACGGAACAGAUCUGCUGUGCGCAUGCGUAUUGCAGUUCACAUGGCAGAGCGGGAUGGACCGGUCACAAUCUGUGAGUAACAGUUUUAUCUUAUUCCCUCGUUGUAAUUUAUGCAAUGUUAUAGAAUUAUGAGUAGAAGCGUUCUUCAUGGUCAAGUAAAAUGUUUUAUGUUAAAUUCAGUCCAGACGUUACGUGAAGUCUGGUACAUUCUUCAUCUAGUUUAACAUCAAGCUAAACUCAGGCGAACAUUUGUUAGUUAGCGUGUCUAGGUACCAUUUUUUUAGGCCACGGUUGUCAAACUCAAGCCCUUGGUCUAUUUUUUUUUUGCCCCGCGAAAUCAAAUAUCAAAUAUAUAAUAUUAAAACUGGCCCGCCGGGUGAUUUUGCAGAUAAGACUACUAAUCCCACAGUGCUUUGCAGCGUUUGCGCGCGAGACGAAGCAAGCCCUCUUUUAUGUUUACGAUCAUUAGCAUCCAUGCUAGUAGAAUCAGCGUGUGCAGCGUUGCCCUCAGUCUUAAACAACUGAAGAUACUCCUCUAAGCGCCCAGUUUACUCAGCGAGUUUCCGACUUUGAACGCCUAGAAAGAAGGUAUCUGGCUGGAAAAGGUGACCAUCAGAUUGGAGCGAACUGAGCUUGAAAUAUUUAAUUGUCAUGCACUUUUUCUGCUCCAAAGCAUGAAAGUUAAUAACUGAGAUAUUUUCAUAGAAGAUAAUUGCUAUUUUUGGUUUUUGUUGUUGGCCUGUGAAAAAAAGAUUAAACUUACUCUAAAAUGGGAACUGGACAGACUACAAAUUGAAGAAUAGAAUAGAAAAUCCCUUUAUUGUCCCUCAGUAGGGAAACUGUGGUGUCACAGCAGCAAUAACGUUCAUUACAGGAGCCAAACAGGAGAGUAAAACAUAAUAAUAAAGAGUAAACUAAAAGAAAACAUAAAACAGACAAACUUAAAAUAUCCAAAAGGUAAAACAAUCUAAAUACUGAAUAUGUACACAUUGUAAGGAGUAAAAAGAGUAUAUAAAAAUUGAGACAUAAGUAACGAGUGAUGUGUUUUAUUUAAAACACGUGUGUAAUUUGGUCAUAUCAGAUUCUGUGUUCAGAUGCAAAAAUAAGUUUCUUUCCAAUUGAAUAACAAGACAUCUGUAAAUAAACUUUUCAAUAAAUAUUGAGUUUGGGCCGCAAUUUUGUCCCAGUUUUUAAUUUGGUCCUAUUGUGAAUUUGAGUUUGACACCCCUGCUUUAGGCUGUGCGUGCAGUAAUAAGGAGACAGACACUGGCUGAGCCAGUGCAUAAAUGUUUGAUUUUCUGGCGGUGGGCAAUAGUUAAAGAAAUAUUAUUUUUUUUUAAAUAAAAUACAUCUUUAAAUUUUGGCCAAUGAGCUCUGGCACAUAAUAAACAGAAAUACUGCUUCAUCAUUUCAUGUACCUUUGAAUCUACAGUUGGUCUUAUUUAAAAAUGUUUUUUUAUUAAAACUAGCAUAGCUGGAGUGUUAAAAAAAUAAAAGUGCCAUAAGAUAUUUGGAAGUUGUUAUUUUAUUUCUAUUACCCAACAGUUAUCCAAUUCAUGUUUGUUCAGUUUUUUUUUUUUCCUCUAGGAAUCAUUGAGGCUUGACAUCCUUCAAAGGUUGUACGAUCGACUGUCAAGCAUCUUGGAGAGGCAACCUGUUGAUGGGGAAGGGCUACAGUUUGCUUGUCACCAUUAUUUAGUUUUAUUAGGUGCUCUAGGUGACAUUGUUGAUGUAGGAGAGGAUAUACUUUCUGCUCUUUCAGAUCUGAAUACUAUUAUCCAGCAGGAAAGAGAUAAUCAAAAGGCAUUAAUAACGGUACACGUUGAAAGAGGUUCUCGUGGCCGCCCACGACUGGCGGUGUCGCGAGAGGCUCUCGAACACCUUGUGGAAAUGGGUCUGCCAACAAGUGUCAUUACCAAACUCCUUGGUGUAUCCAGAGUAACUCUAUUUAGACGGAUGUCUGAAAAUAUUAUACCUGUAUCUGCCACAUACAGUAAAUGCAGUUAUGAGGAACUAGAUUCAUUUAUCACAGUAAUUAAGAGCAACAUGCCAGAUGCUGGGUACAGGGUAGUCCGAGGUGCUUUACUUCCCCAGGGACAUAGAGUACAGUGGGACCGACUGUAUGCAUCGUGUGGACAGUGCGGGUGUACUUGCUCGAAUGACAUGUCUGGGAUGUGUAGUGAGAAGGACGUACACAGUUCCUUGCCCAAAGUAUAUGGUGCACAUUGACAUCAGGUAAUGUCUGUGUGUAAUUGGAGAUGUUAUUUUUUGUUUUGGGAGUUGCAUUUUUAAUUGUCUGUGUUUUAACAGGUACAAUUUUAUUAUCUUUGGGGGAAUAGACGGCUAUUCAAGGAAGGUAGGUGUUUUCAUUGUCAAGGACCAAACAGCUGCAAAUGUGUUUUCUGGCUAUCUUCUGUUUUAUAGAUAUGUUUUAUACCUUUAACAACUUAUAUUUUGAAGUAAAGGGCUGCAUAGGAAUGGGUCCCAGCAGGAGCGAGCAGUUUGAACAGUUGGCUAAAAACCAAAGGGAUUUUCAGAAAUCCCAAAAUAUACACAUUAUUAUUUUUUGCAUAUUUGUAAAGUCAGUUAAUGUAAGGGCUUGUAAUAAUCAUUAGCCUUUACUCCUCCAUAUUGAUUUUUAAAUGGAGGAAUAUGAUACACAAUCCCAUGAAUCCAAUAAUAGUCUGUCAUGCCAUGUUUUCUCCUGCACGAUGAGUGAAUACACAAAAUCAGUGCAUCUUAAUUAUAUUGUGGGUAAUAGUUCUGAGUGUCACUGGAGAAUGUGGAAGUAAACCACAUUGCGGGUGGUCAGAAAUUCAAAAGAAGAUGGCGGGAGAGGGAUGAAAACAGUAUAGUGCAGUGGUCUUCUGUAAACUGCAUCCAUCACUCCUGUGAGAUUUGACACAAACAAUACAGUUUAUCAGAUCUUAACUUAUUUAAUUAUCUAACAUGUUAUUGUAUGGCUGUUGUACCUUUAAUUUGGUAAUUGAUUGUUUUGGCCCCUAUAAAAGUGUGUCAUAUGAGAGUGUUUGUGCUUGAAUUACAUAGAUCAUGUACCUGAAGGUAGCUGACAACAACCGGGCAGACACCCACCUUGCCUCUUCAGUGAAGCUGUGAAUGAGCAUGGCUUUCCUCUGAGGGUGAGAGGAGAUCAUGGCAGAGAAAAUGCAGGUGAUGCAGAAUUAAUGUUCUCAGUUCGUGGAACUGACACCAACAGCUUCAUUGCAGGAAAAAGUGUACACAAUCAGCGGCCAGCCUGUAUGUCUUUAGAGAUGCAUGGGACAACCAUCCAAUCAGGACAGAGGAAAACAUGACACCAAAUCAGCUGUGGCAUCUGGGCCAGGCUCUGAAUCCUGUUUCUGAUCCAGGGGCAAAUGUAUGUUCUGUUAAAAUGACUGAUCACAUGUCAAGUUGAUCCUUAACUAAAAAUCAAAUGUUCAACACUUUGAUAAUCUACCUCUGCACUAUGCUUCUUGGAUUCAAGAUGAAAUGGCUAUUGAAAUUACAGUUCUGUUUGUGUGCACCUCUACUGAAAUGGACACUGUCAACUAUAAUGUCAUGACAUUACAAAGUCAUGACACAUCUGCAAGUUCAAAAUGCAAGGCAUUAGACCUUCCAGAUGUGAUAUUCUCACUGCUGUUUUAACAUAAAAUUUGCCCAUUAAUUAAAAAAUAAUAAUAAUUUAUGAAAUAAUGAAGAUGCUAGGUUCUGCCUGACAUCAUUGAUGUUAAGUAAUUGUUAAAAGGUCAUGAUAAAGCUUUAUUAAAUGUGUUUUCUUGAGAUUCAUUAUGCACAAUGCUCAUACACACUUUCUUUUUCCAGAGUAUACCGAUACCAGAGAUUGAAUGGGAGGAAAAUGGAUACAUGACUGAACCUCAUCCUGGGAUCAAUGUCCCUGUACUGGACAGUCCUCUUUCAGAUCAUGAAAUGUUGGAACUGCAGGACAGCAUUAAUCCGUUGCAACAUUUAGACUCUUUUGGAGUGGACAUAUAUCUUCACACUGUCCAGUAUGUUGAGAACUUACUUGAGGCUAGAUGAUUACAUGUGUGAAGAAGGAAGGAGAGAGAAGGUAGGGAGUUAGGAAGAAAGAAAACAAUUAAUGAGACAGGAAGGAAGAAAGUUAAAAAGUGAAGGAGUGGUCCAUUUUAAGGUUAAUAUACUGUAUAUUGUUAUUCAAGGGAUUUGCCGUCGUAAAUAUGAAAUGCUAAAGGAUAGACCCCCAAAUAGAUUUCUAAAUUCAUUUAUAGUUGUGUAUUUCCUUAAAGGCUGUGUCAGCCUGAUUUAUUUUAGACCAGGAAUGUAUUUGAAAAGGCUGCUGUCCACUUAAUCUAUGCUACAAUUCUUCAAAAUGUAGAUGUUCUAUCAUUGCUAGUGUUGGUUUAGUAACAUACAUCUUCCUGUGUAUCCAGCUCUAAUAAAAACAUAUUUAAAGGUGAAGCACCUACUUCUUAUCAGGAGAUCCAUUUCUUUUUACAUGUUAUUGUUUGAAUUUUGUCUCGUUUCAUAACUUUUGCUCAACAUUUAAGGGGAACUGUGUUACCCUGCGAUCAUCUUCAUUACACUUGAAAACUCGUACUAUACCUCCGUCCGUCUACUUAUUAAAUAGAAUAACAUGACAAGAUUCUAUCUACAGUUUUUUUGAUCAAGGGAUGAUUAGGUGUUGUGAGAAGAUUCUCUAUGCUACUGAGUCUGUGUUAAAUUGCAACUGGACACACAUACUCACACACAGUUUGUUCAUUUGUUCUCAGAAUGAGAAUAAUGUCUUUUAGAGUUAAAAAGUUAUUUUUUUUCUUGAUGUCACUGAAGGCUGUGUUAGAAAUAUAUGCAGCUCAUUAAAAGGAAAAGUAACUGAUGUAACCAAGAGCCUGAACACAGGAGAAUAGAGACACCUGCCAAGAUAAAGAGCUGAGCUUUUGCUCCUUUUCAGAGUCACUCCCAUGGAAUAGGUCUGAUGAUUUACUAGCUUCUCUUACCUUCUCUGCAGACAAUGUUUAAUAUGAGCUUCAAGAGGUCUCUGCCCCUAACGGGGUUUGCUUUCACAUAGUAAAAAUGCAUAAUUUUUCUGAAUAAGAUUAUUAAGAGGCCACCCAUAGGGUGGAACGUUGGUUAUGUAUUGUAACCCCAGAUUCUAUGAGUAUAGUGUAGCCCUCUGAGCAAUCGCCUAUUGGAUUAAUUCCAUCCCCUUAACUGCGCAGAUUGGAUCAGCGGUGAUCGGCGAGCAGUGCUUGCCGGUUAGAUUUGUGUCCGACUUGACGCCGACUUGCUCUAUCUCUAUCGUAGGCAACGAUAACCUUGUGAGAUCAAGGUGGCCGCAGAUUUUGGAGCAAGGCGCUGCAGUUGCUCUCCCUCGACUGCAAAACCCAGGGCAUGACGGGAAACGCCUGGCUCUCACCUGAUCUAAGAUCUGAUUGGUUCAUAUUUUGAUCCAAACAUCCGGUGGUAGAACAUGAAAUGUUAGUUGGUCACAUGUAUUCUGUAAAUCAUGUAAUGUUGAUGAUGACAACUAUAUAGGCCAUAAAGAGAAAUGUGAUUUGUGUUCUUUUGUCACGUCUCCUAUGAGCACACUAAACCUACAGCUGAUAACCUUUACUUAUUAUUACAGUCAUGUCUCCAUAUACAAUAUAUGAUAUCCACAAGCACGUGAGGAUGUGUUUCAGCUGCUAACAGGCACCAGAAUUAAAAGGGAAAAUUAAACAAGUGUGAACGCUAACGUGAUAUCUUCAGCCAUCAGCACCUACUUCUAUGCGCACAGCAGAUCUGUUCCGUAAUAUAAGGAGCCAUAUGAUUGGCUGAAAGCGAACAGCUCUGGCAAAAUCAUAUAUUUGAUUGACAGAUUCAUUAGCCAAUGGUGACGUUUGUUGAUCUGCGACGUUAGGAGAGUCUCAAAAUUCAGCACACCGAUUUCUCUCACGAAUGCAGGAAGGUUCACAAAUGAGAAGCUGUUCGUGAAUGCACCACACAAAUUUCACUCACAAACGCAGAAAGGUUCACAAAUGAGAAGCUGUUCGUAAAUGCGCAUUCAGCAAUUCGUAUGAUCUGUGAGUUUAUAUUACAAGUGUUCUUACAAAUUAUAUUUGUGAACCACAGAGUGUGAACUUCAGAAUUAGCGUGUGCAUUUGUGGAAAACGUUGUGUGACUUAAUUCUUAUUGAGACUGUUCUGGCCUCAUACCAUUUUGUCAUUUUAUCACAUAUUAUAUUUUAACUAACUUGUCCUAGGGCUUUAGGCCUAUGACCUAAAAUUGAUAAGCCAUUGGGAAUCAAAAGUUGUCUAAAUAGUUUUCAAAAGGACUAAUGGUGUAGUUCGGGCUUAGUCUCAAAUAUUGAUCUUUUUACAUUAAAGUUCUUGGUUUAUUAACUUGCAGACACAUGAUCAGAGCUAUAUCCAACUUAGUGUCAUGUCAAAUCUCAAGACAAUGACAGUGUCAUUUCCUGCCAUCACCAAAGCCACUACCCCUGACAACAGGAAGUUUAUUGUUUUACUCUAAAAGGUCCAACUUUGACCCUUUGUAUAGAAUCAACAUGAGACACUGCCCAAUGUCAGAAGACAUGCUGGUGUAAUGCAGCAUUCAGUACUGAGAUAUUUCAAGAGAGAAUGGGGUUGUGGUGAGACGGCAAAAUUGGAUGGCAAGCCGUGGCCUUACAAUUGGCUGUAAUUUCAUCAUACACACUGAUUUUCACCAAAUUAAACACAACAGAUGUUACAGUCUCUCAAAGAAAUGUUUGCAAAUUGUUGGUAAUUAAAGUCUUAAUUUUGCUUUAGGGCCCCUUGCAUGCAUUCAUGUUUUAAAUAACUUCUACAAGAAAAGGUCAUAAUAUGUCAGUAUGACUUUCUUGUUUAGUCCUUGUAGCUGUGUUGAGUGUUAACUUGACAAGGUUUGUACACUCUGUGAGCCCCUAGCUGCCUUUUUUACACAACAAGCCAUCAACAAGCUAUCCUAUCCAAUCCUGAUAUCCUUUAAAUAAAGUUAUUGUCCCAUAAAUAAAUCUGAGAUACUCACUCAAAAAUUGAACCACAAUUAGCCACCUCCUCUACCUAGAUGACAUAAAACUGUAUAUCAAGACCGAGCGAGACAUUGACUCACUGAUCCAAACCACCAGGAUCUACAGCAUUGAUAUUGGAAUGUCAUCUGGACUUGAGAAGUGUGGUCGAAUGUUGACAAAGUAAGAGAAGAUAAUAGAUACAGGAGGGGUCUCACUCCCAGAAGGAAAAAAGUCAGACCUUGAGGACAGCUACAAAUUCCUUGGUGUCCAGCAAGCAAAUGGCAACCUCGAUGAGGCUGCAAGGAAAUAAGCCACAACCAAAUACUUAAAACAAAUAAGGAGAGCACUAAGAAAUCAGCUCAAGGGCAAGAACAAGAUUUGGGAAAUAAACAGCUAUGCCCUGCUAGUAAUCAGAUAUCUGUCAGGAAUAAUGAGCUGGCCAAAAGGAAAAAAUACAGACCACAGAUGUUAAGACACAAAAGCUCCUAACCAUGCAUGGACCAUUACACCCCAAAUCCAGCACCCUGAAACGGUAUGCUAGCAGUAAGGAAGGAGUCAGAGGACUAGCUAGUGUGAGACCUAUGAUCCAAGAUAAAACAGCCAAGGUCUUUAAGUACCAUCAAGGAUAAGACCUCUACAGAUGACAUGCUCAGUGAAUGUCACAGACAUGGGCAAACAGAGGAGCAGGUGCUGGAAAUACUAUUGUGGAAAGACACCCCUACAUGUGAUGUACCACCGACAGGACAUAGGUCAACUAAGACAAACAAAAACUGAGUUUUAGGUAGCAGUAGGUUGCGGUUUCUGAACAGAAACAUUAGUAGAAAUGUUAGCUUUAUCUAUGCACUCUUCUGAAUAAAGAUUUCUGAAGUUUAUCCUGGAAUAUGCCCAUCUCUCUCCAAGUUAAAUGGUCACAGGCCUAAGUGCUCGAUUAACCAAUGGUACUUCUGAGGCCUUGACUCCCCCAAAAAACCUCUAUUUCCUCUUUGAUUCCUUGAUAUUUUGAAUGUUAUAUAUAAAUGUGUAUACUGGUCUCAUAAUGUUUAAAUGUCUCCUUAAACCAUGAAACAGUCAGAAUUGUAUAUUUUUGUAAACAGACCUCAUAAACCCUAAUUGUCUCCAUAAACCACCAGGUUGUCAAGUCCUCAUAAGCCUGUGUAAAUUCAUAUGUGAAAUGUAUGUAUGUUCUGAUAUGUUUUUCUUAAUUUUGAAGUGAGACUUUUCUUCUAUGGGUAAAAUCAAAAUUUUUGACAUACUUUUCGUGUUCACCAGAUGCAGGGAAAGGUGUGUCCUCAUAAACCACCAAAAUGUCAUAGUGGCUUCAUAAACCAUAUCUACAUGUAUGUGUGUGUGUGUGUGUGUGUGUGUGUGUGUGUGUGUGUGUCUAGAUUUGUGUGUGUGUGUGUGUAACUAGAUUUAUGUUGUGUGUAACUAGAUUUGUGUGUGUGUGUGUGUGUGUGUGUGUAUGUGUGUCUAGAUUUGUGUGUGUGUGUGUGUAACUAGAUUUAUGUGUGUGUGUAACUAGAUUUGUGUGUGUGUAACUAGAUUUAUGUGUGUGUGUGUGUGUAACUAGAUUUGUGUGUGUGUGUGUGUGUGUGUGUGUGUGUGUGUGCGUGUGCGUGUGCGUGUGCGUCUAGAUUUGUGCAUGUGUAUCUAGAUUUGUGUGUGUGUGUAACUAGAUUUAUGUGUGUGUGUGUAACUAGAUUUGUGUGUGUGUGUGUGUGUGUGUGUGUGUGUGUGUGUGUAUGUGUGUGCGUGUGCGUCUAGAUUUGUGCAUGUGUAUCUAGAUUUGUG